AACUGUAGGUUGGGACUCCAAAGUGGGUUGGGACGCCAUUUUAAUGGGGUUGUCAGGGCUGGCUUAGACUUGUUGGGCUCCACCACCUGGGG